rnacentral:rRNA from 1 species
AUUGAACGCUGGCGGCAGGCCUAACACAUGCAAGUCGAGCGGAUGAAGGGAGCUUGCUCCUGGAUUCAGCGGCGGACGGGUGAGUAAUGCCUAGGAAUCUGCCUGGUAGUGGGGGAUAACGUCCGGAAACGGGCGCUAAUACCGCAUACGUCCUGAGGGAGAAAGUGGGGGAUCUUCGGACCUCACGCUAUCAGAUGAGCCUAGGUCGGAUUAGCUAGUUGGUGGGGUAAAGGCCUACCAAGGCGACGAUCCGUAACUGGUCUGAGAGGAUGAUCAGUCACACUGGAACUGAGACACGGUCCAGACUCCUACGGGAGGCAGCAGUGGGGAAUAUUGGACAAUGGGCGAAAGCCGGAUCCAGCCAUGCCGCGUGUGUGAAGAAGGUCUUCGGAUUGUAAAGCACUUUAAGUUGGGAGGAAGGGCAGUAAGUUAAUACCGUGCUGUUUUGACGUUACCAACAGAAUAAGCACCGGCUAACUUCGUG